rnacentral:rRNA from 1 species
GACGAACGCCGGCGGCGUGCUUAACACAUGCAAGUCGAGCGGUAAGGCCUCUUCGGAGGUACACGAGCGGCGAACGGGUGAGUAACACGUGAGCAACCUACCCAUCACAUCGGUAUAACCCCCUGAAACGGGAGCUAAUACCGAAUACGAUCACUGCAGACAUCUUACUGUGGCGGAAGGCUCCGGCGGUGGUGGAUGGCCCCGCGGCCUAUCCGCUUGUUGGGGGGGUAACGGCCUACCAAGGCUUCGACGGGUAGCCGGCCUGGGAGGGUGACCGGCCACACUGGGACUGAGACACGGGCCAGACUCCUACGGGAGGCAGCAGUGGGAAUAUUGGACAAUGGGCGAAAGCCUGAUCCAGCAACGCCGCGUGAGGGAUGACGGCCUUCGGGUUGUAAACCUCUUUCAGCAGGGACGAAGCGCAAGUGACGGUACCUGCAGAAGAAGCACCGGCCAACUACGUGCCAGCCGCCGCUGUAAUAC